AUUGAACGCUGGCGGCAGGCUUAACACAUGCAAGUCGAACGAGUGGCGGACGGGUGAGUAAUGCUUGGGAAUCUGCCCGAUAGAGGGGGAUAACUACUGUAAACGGUGUCUCAUCCCGCAUACUAUCGGAUGAACCCAUAUGGGAUUAGCUCGUAGGUGGGGUAAAGGCUCACCAAGCCGACGAUCUCUAGCUGGUCUGAGAGGAGGACCAGCCACAAGGGGACUGAGACACGGCCCAGACUCCUACGGGAGGAAGCAGUGGGGAAUAUUGCGCAAUGGGGGCAACCCUGACGCAGCCAUGCCGCGUGAAUGAAGAAGGCCUUCGGGUUGUAAAGUUCUUUCGGUAGCGAGGCGUUAACUACAGAAGAAGCACCGGCUAACUCCGUGCCAGCAGCCGCGGUAAUUC
rnacentral:rRNA from 1 species